rnacentral:lncRNA from 1 species
CGAUGCAACGUUUUCAAAGGGGCUUCCAAAGCGCGGCUGUGUCUUAACUCUAGCUUUAACUCCUUAGGGUGACCAAACGCUUUCUGCUUCUUAAAAGACAGUUUGGCAGGAAGGAGUUGCAAGCCUCAGUUCCUUUGGGGAAGAUUUCAUCAGAAGGUAUUAAGUUUCGCGCUGCCGUUCUCUUUUCUUUUCUCCAUUGCAUUGUUGGCUGUCCGUGUUUUCUGUUUUGUUUUGCGAUCUCGCGUCGUGACCGAUUAGCAGCGCUUCUCGCUGCCCCAUCCUAUGCAUGCUUACUCGGAAGGCAGCCGCUCCGGAGUUGCACAGGGUUUGUUUGCUUCCCAGCUCCACGUCAGCGUGUAUAGGAUUGCAGCCUUACAGCGCGCUUCCUUUGCAGGAAGAAAGCUCCCAGGUAACUUCGUGGGACUGACUUCUGAGUAAACAUGGACUGGCUACAUGAAUGCAUACUCUGAAAUGAGUUUCAGUUGACUUGCUGGGGUUUACUGCCGAGUAAACAUGUUGAGGGAUUUGUAUGUCAUCUGAAAUCCUAAACAUGUUUACUUAUGAAUAAACAUGGCUGGAAUUGAACUGUUAAUUUCUCCCCCUUCAUAUGAUUCACCUAAAUUCUAUUCUACAUUUCUAAACUCUGAGUUAAGGGGUCUGUAUGCUAUCAUUCUGCAUUGUUGACUUUUGUAAAACAAGUAAGAUUAGCAGUGUUUGUAUUUUCAUCACUGUGAAAAAGUGACAGGGUUCAACUGAAGAGAACUGAAUGCAUAACUUGCACAGAAACUAGACCAUGCAGUUGUGGAGAAUAUAUGUUUUGCCAUCUCCGUGAAAUAAUAAGAGGUAUGUUAUUGAUCAAUAUCUUUUGAUAAGUAUUAACUGUCUUUACUUGAAUUUAAGUCUUAUUGAUUUCAAGGAAACUUACUUUCAAAUAAUGCAGAUUAGGCUCUUCAGCAGAGCUAAGGCUCCAUACCUAUAUGCAGUAACUUGGUCAUAUGUCUCAUUGAAGUCAGCAGAUUCAGUUCUGGGGAAAAACAUGCACUAUAUCCAGCUGUGCCAGCUAAAAUGUAAUGGUCUGAUAACUAUUUGUGCCUCAGCUACCUAUGUACAAACUUGCACAAAAACUUCAAGAAUAUUUUCAAUGUGGAAGCAAAUGCAUUGCAUUAUUCACAUCUGUACUGACAAAAUUAUCCAACCCCCAAUUCACUACCCUUAGCUAUAGCACAUCAAAGCUCCUGACCAGACAAACCCAUUUAAUGCAAAUAAAUGGACACAAAAUUCCAGAUAUUGUUAAUCAAAAUACCGUUUUACAAGUACCCCCAAAAUUAAACAAGAGCACAAGUUUGUCCUAAUAGUCUUCGUCAAUUUAUGUGGCAUAAAUGUCAUAUUUAUGAUCUGUUUUCAGAGCAAGAAUUGAUUCCAUCUACCUGCUGAAUAAAAUAAUUCCAAUAUAUCGUGAUGAAACAAUUGUUACAAUAAUAGAAAAUACUUUUUUUUAAAUACAAAUUCAGCUGUAUUGCUUGGCACUUUUUUUUGACUGAAGCACUCUGUGAUGCAAAUGGCAUAAUCUUUUAGAUCAAAACAAAUCAGUGCACACCCUCAGAAUGCAUUAAUGCCUUUCACAAAUGAGAGUACAACAGCUGUCUCCAAAUCUAUUUGACGGCUUUUGCCAAAGUAAGAUGACAGAAGAAGACAUAUAUGUAAGUGCAAUGGAAAUAUUUGCAUCCCUUUGUUUUGCUGAGCAACUUAACAGUAUAUAAUAUAUUUAUCCCAUGUAGAGUUGAAAAUCUGCUUUCCGAUACAUAUGGGGACACACACACUUAGGAAUCAAGAAUCCACACAGCAUAAUUGGAGGUCUCACCACUACAGAAAAGCAGAUAGUAAAAACAUAAUUAACAGUAACAUUAUGCUGCCUAUGUUGCUAAAUGUAGACUCUAAUUAAGAUGUAAAUUUUGGAUCUGAGCAGUGAAUUAAAAAUACUCUGGGAUGCAUCCUACCCAAUCACUUCACAGAUUUCACUAAACAAGCAAAAAAUAAUAGGUGAAAUUUGAGUGCAACACACCUUCCUAAAAAUAUUUUAGUAGAAUAAAUGACUUGUUUGUAGCAGAUUUCUUUUGAUUCUGUAUAAUUUAUAUGUAAUCAAUAUCGAAACACAUUCCUAUACACAUGGAUAUCCACUCUUUUAAUUCAGAUAAAAUUUCAAUCGCUGUUCUGGCACAAGAGUUUGAAAGUCAUGUUGAAUGUGCAGCUUUGUUCAAGCGUCAUAUAGAUCUUAGUCUGCAAAGCUCUGUUCAUAAGCAAAAAUUAUUUGCUGGAAUAUGGCAUCAUGUUCAUUAAAUCAUCAUUAGGGAAUAAAAAAAAAUACUUCAUAUUUUAUUUGGGCUACUGUUUUCUUUUGUGCUGUACUUUUCCAUCUGCUAAGCUUUUCAUGUCCACAUAGUUUCCGCUAUCCUUUUUCAUGCCCAUGUCAUCUUGCGCUUCCCCUCCGCAUCACCAAAUUAACUAUUGCUAUCUUUCCACCAGACACCUUGCAAGCAUCUGUCUUUGCUGAUGGUGCUGCUGCUUAGAAGACUACAGCCGUAGCAUUAUAAUUUAUGCAUUCAUGAAAGGCAGUUGGCCUUCUCCCCUGGGAUUCAAAAUGUCACCUCGACUAGACCUGGGCCUGGAAUUUCAACUGCAUUCUUGAACUUGGGCACACCAGUUUACAGUUCAGUUAUUCUAAUAAAAUGAAGAAAUAAAUUAGGCAACUUACCAGAUACUAUAGCACACUCUAAAAACGCUUGUUUUAUUAAAGAUGCUUUCUAAUUGCACGUGAAAAUAUAAUCACAGCAAAUGCUUAUUACAUAAUGUCUAAAUCACAGAAAAUCAAAAUCAGGAGUGUGCUCCUCUCUCUCCCUCUCUCUGCUUUACACAUAUAUGCACAUGCUAAAUCAAAUGCUCUAGUGUAAAAAUCUUACCUCAAGGAAUCCACAAAAGCAAUAGUAAUGGAAUCAAGGCUAGGAGGGUGAGAGAAGCUGUCAUGAGUAUCUGCACCAGUCAAUGAGCACUGCUGAGCACUGUCUACAUCUUCACAUCCCCUCUGUGUGUAUAAUUAUUCCCAUGAAGAGUACUGUACAUCUUUAAGCGCCUUCACACUUAAGUGCUACAGACAUCUCAUUGCAUCCAAAUUGCCCGACUCCUAAACCACAGCUACCUCAAGGCUACUGAAGUAAAGACUCAGUGGCACUUUGCAGAAGCAGCAUAGUUAAUUGUGCCAAGCACAUAUUUACUCAAAAUGAACACUGGAGAGAAAAAAUAUGGGGAGGAAAUGUGUCUGCCAUGCAUGUUACUAUUAUUGCUUUGAACCCUAAGUUAUAUAAAGGGCAUUAUAUACCCCCAUACUUCCAUAUACACUGUUUCCACACCAACAAAUUUCAUCAUUCUUUCAAUUAAAUUUGAAUUAAAGGUAGUUACAUGUUCAUCCUGGAUUUCUGAAAUUGAUCAUGAACCAAUCAGAGUAACAGGUUUGCUAUAUCUAGCUUUCUGAAUAGAUUGAAAAUAGACAUAUUUAGCUUUUCAAAUUAGAUAGAAAAAUGUCAGGAAAUGCUAAAUAUUAAAUAGUGGUUCUGUGUAACAGGCCCUUUGCGGGCUAUACUCCUGUCUUGGAAGUCUUUGCACCAUAGUUUCUUCAUUUUACAAAAACCAAUCCUGCAUUCACUUAUUCGAAGCAAAUGUUGCUGAUUUCAGCUAAAAGUAAUUAGCACUGAAGUGUUAAAAACUGUUUUGCAAUUUGUCUUUCCGACUCUUCCUCAGGAAGUACAGUAUAGCACAUCCCUGGAUACAAUAUAAUCCCCCUGCCCUCUCUCUCUCUCUCUCUCUCUCUCUCUCUGUGUGUGUGUGUGUGUGAGAGAGAGAGGGAUAGAGAGAGAGAGACAGAGACAGAGACAGAGACAGAGACAGACAACAAAAAAACAGACAUACAUACACAUAGACACACAGCAAGUGACAAGCUUGCUCUCUGGAUUUCUUUGCAUACUUAUAUACACUUGAGCAAAUGGUAGUAGAUUACUACUUUAAAACCGUCAGGCACUUUCACUUAUAUUUAGCAGAAGUAAUGAUCACCCUGCCUGGAUUUUAGACAAGCUGUAUUAAAAUAUGCUUUCAAAUACAAGCACAAACAUGUGUGCAUGUGUGUGGACGUGUGCACACUGCAUCCCUUUUCCUUAUAUAAACUCAGACGGGUGAAGCACAAAGUUUCUUCAGUAAGAAGUCAUAAUAAUUAUAUAUCAAUAUAACAUAUGCAGUCUAACCGACUGACCACAACCACAAUUCUUCAGGGCUAGCCCCUGUUUGUUUAUGUUAGUACAUAGGUAGGUAUAACAGUUACUCCCCCCCCACACCCAACUUAAAAUCUCUAUUGAAAUGCUCAGGGGGCAGGCAGUACCUUGAAAAAAUACAGUAUAGUUAAAAAAUGCAUUACCUAUAUCUCCCCUCAGUAGUCCAUCAAACUCUUUUUCUAGCACGUUUCCUUAGAGAACCACACAGUGUUACUGUCUCAAGCAGCCAAGGAGAAGAUGACUGAGGGAAUUCAGUCACUCUGUUUAAUUAAUACAGGAUUAUUUCACUUUCAUUUUGUGAAGCUAAUAAUAUGACUGGUGGAAUGUCAGUAAAAAUUAAAUCGUAAACUAGUGCAGUGCCAUGGGGAAACCUUACUUUAGUUAUGAAGUAUUCCCAGUAGAAAUCUUGAAAAAUCGUAUACAUAUUUACACUGGUAAAAUACCACAUGCUGUUUCAUGGAAUGCUGAAAGAAUUCAAGAAUCUGUGUGGCAUGUAUCAGAGAGCAAGAGUUAACGUUUUCAGAUUAUACAUUAAUAAGCAGGUUGAAGGUAUGUUGUUUCCUGAAUGUUAAAGCACCACAUGCUAAAUGGAGAAGUACGCUCAAGGUCAGUGUUGCAUUUUGGACAAUCUCAGCCGCUGUGAUAUUAUGAUAAUCACACUUAAAAUAUUCGUAUAGAAAGAGCAAAUUAGGCUUUUCACUAGAAAGAUGAUUAUGAUAAACAACAAUUCUGAAGGGGACAAAUUCAUAUUGCUUUCCUUCCCCGACAAUAAAUUGCUGCUCCUUAUUAGGAGUGUGGUGCUUCUUGUAGAAAUAAGUCACCACACUAUUCUGUUUGAGUUACCUUUUUAUUCUUCAAAGACACAGCGUUCGAAGAGAAAACAAUAGCUCACUUCUUCCCCUAUAUCUAAACUAAUAUUUAAAAGCUACCAGUCCACAAAACGAAAAAGGUCUCUCGGAAAACAAGCAGGCAUCAACACCCAUCCUGAAAUAAGAUUAGGAUUGUAACUCUGACCAAUUGUGGGACAAGAUCAGAUAGAUCUCCCUCCCUCAACUCCUCUCUCCACAGCUUCCUACCUAAAUGGAAGCUCCAGGCACUAAAAAUAGAAAAGAAGAUGGAGUGCAAAUAUUUCCCCAGUGAAAACACCAAUAAUCUUUACCGUGAGCUGACACGAAUUGCUUGUUACACUGCCCUAGGAUAUCAUGGCCUGGAGCGACAGCACACACACGCACGCACGCACACAAACACACUCAAAGACACUAACCAUCUCCAAAGCCACAGUAAUGUGUGUUAGUAUAUGUGCAUUUUGCAGCGGCCUUAUGAAAUCUGACUUCUAGCUGCUACACCUGCCAUACAAAGCCCAUCAUUUGUAGCCUGCCAGGGUUUGUUUUCCCUCUGAAUACCUUUGCCCAUCUUUCUCUCCUUUCUCUCCCCCUCUAUUCACUUUUCUCUGGCAUUUAUAUUAUUAAUGUUAUUGCUAUUAUUACUGUCCAAGCAUAAGCUGAUCCACGGGGGAGCCUGUGUAAUUUAACCCCUGAAGCGCUAAAUUUCUUCACAUGUGCCAAAGACACAGGUUUGUUGUUGCCUCUAGCAAUAUCCCAGGAAGACGAGUGAUGGCGGUGUCAUAUCAUCACAUAGUGACUUAAUCUAUUGCGACACCCAGGGAAUGGGCAACUGAAAAGAUUUACGGAACAUGUUUUUAACUGCAUACAAACGUGCUAUUCCCAUUUCCCAAUAAGCCAGAGUCACUGGGAUCAAACCGGAACAAAUUUCACCCACCUUCCACUCCCGGUUCCAAAUAUUAAGCCCUGUGUCAUCCAAUCAUCCUAUUUCAUGAGUUGAAAUCCCAAUGUAAAAUAUAACUCUGAUAAACAGCAUUUGUAACCUCUUAUUUCUUCUUUUGUUCUUUUCACGUCUCCUGAUUAACAAGCAGUCAGAGCGUGUUGAAUUGCUGAAUAGUGCAGCCUUAGCAUGAUCGGCCACUCGCUAGAGAAAAGAAUCUUACUUCAGUAUCCUUUAAAAAUGGUCUGACUGGCAUCAGAGACAUGUUUCAAAAACAACUCAUUAAUGAGCAACACCUAAAAGUAGGAAGGGCUUGAUAUUCACAUUUUAAUAUUUAGCUGCAAUAAAUAUUGACAAAAAGAAAAAUCACCUGUACUGUGUAAAGGCAAAAUGAUAUAUAUUCAUUCUCCCACCAUGACAUGUUAAAUAUGAGGAUCUUUAUUUUGCUUUCUGUAAAAUUCCAUUUCAAGCUAACACGUUCAGAUAUAAUACAAGUUAGGUGUUAUUAUAUCUAUGUUUAGAUGGAGUUCCAAUGGAUAUUUUUUUUGUCAACCUGGAACACCAAUGAUCCAUUGUUGUGGCAGGGUCAGCAGCUCAGAGACUGACUACUGCAUUAAUAUUUUACACCGAGUAGAUCUCAGGAUCAUGUGUGCUUACCACCGUUAGUGACGUGAAUGAUACACACACAAGUGACAUGUAUUAUUUGGCCCAUUUCCAUAUCUUGGCCUAAAACUACCGUAUGUAUGUGUAAUUUGCCCAAUAUCUAUUAUCCUUCCACCUCUGAAGGGGGAGGAAUAACAAUGGAAACCAGAAUUAUUAACAUUGCAGAAUUGCAGUGCAUUGUAAUGGAUAACAUGAGCUCAUUCUCCAGACCCACCACAUGCCAAAGAUUAUUAGGGUCAUUUUAUGUAUUUAUUAUAAAAAAGUAUUAUAAAAAUGUACUCUAUCUUUCCAUCAUAUACUCAAGACUGCUUAUACAGAUGACUUUAUAUCCAAACCAGCCCAAUGAUUCUGGCCCUAGAACUAUUUUUUAUUUAUGAAGAAUAUGCAAUGAACAAGAUUCCCCCUACAAAUAAUUUGGUGUUGCAAGAAUGUGAGAAGAGCUUUGCUCAAUCAGGCCAAGGAUCCAUCCAAUCUACAGCAGUAGCCAGCCAUAUUAAUAAUAAUAAUAAUACAUUAUAUCAUCCUAUACCCAGAGGUCUCACUCUAGGAAGUCAACAAGCAGGGCACUGUAUGUUCCCAAAGUUCAGAAAUACAGUGGUAUCUCGGUUUAAGAACAGUCCGGUUUAAGAACAAUUUGGUUUACAAACUCCACAAAACCAGAAAUAGUAUCCCAGUUUGAGAACUUUACCUAGGUCUAAGAAUGGAAUCUGAAUGGUGGAAGGGCACCGGCAGCAGGAGGCCUCAUUAGGGAAAGUGCGCCUCGGUUUAAGAACGGUUUUGGUUUAAGAACGGACUUCCGGAACGGAUUAAGUUCGUAAACCGAGGUACCACUGUAUACUGCCUUGAAAUGGCUAUCACGGCUAAUAUGGGGACAUAGUAGCACAAAACCCUAAACUAUGGUUUAGAACUAUGUGAAAGAGCCUCAAUGAGCCCUAUCAAAUUAUCAGGUUUCUCUGUGCUCCUGUCCUCCUAGUGCAUGGCCAGGAGGAAGACUUUUGCCUAGUUUUGAUUCACUUUUAAAGAAACUUUGCUUUGAACCAGCAAUCCUGGAUUAAAGCAAACCGUGAUCAGUUUUGAAAUAAGCCAAAUUCAAACCAUGAAUUGUGAAGCUAACUUAUUAAAUUGGACCCAGUUUGUUUUAAACUGGGAUGCCUGGUUAGAACAUAGCUCUAAACUGGAAUUCUGUGAAAGUGAAACUAAACAGGGCGGAACUUUUCCUCCCCGCAAUGUGGGAGGAGCAUGCUAGCCCAACACUUUGUUCAGGCUCACUCACAUAGCGCUAAACAUUUGUUUAGCAUUAUUGUCUAAACUGGACAUAACUUAUUGAAUUCUUUUAAAAGAGCAUUAAAGCAGAAGUGGUGGAGAAAGUAUGAUUCCUUGCUGUUUUAGGCUUAUGGUAGAAUCUGUUUUGCUAUUUGCUUUUAUUAUUGGUUUAGUUUUACAGUUGUGCUGAUUACUGAUUGAUACUUUUAAUGGGUUUGUGAUAUAAUACUAUUUUAUUUAUCAACAGAAUUUUGUUAUAACUUGAUUAAGUGCAACUAAUUAAUGAAUAAAACAUCUAAAGGAAGAAGUACCAGCUAUUUGAGGUCAGUGCUACAUUUACUGUUCUGGGUUGUGUCAACCUAUACUAAUCCUAUCAGCCCCUGAUCUGCUACUUAGAUUACUGGCCAUGAGCAUGAAGAUUGACAUUUUUUUAAAUCAAGUCACCUAACCCUUAUGAAGCCGUGAACGUAGGAAUUAAUAGUCCAAUCCUAAGCAUACCUACUCAGAAGUCUUAUUUAAUUCAGGGGGGCUUACUUCCCCAUAAAUGGGUUAGGAUUGCAGCCUAAGCCAUUGCAGGAUUUGAGUGUAAUAGCAUACCUGCCUACUCAGAUACAAGCUCUAUUUACUUCAGUGAGUCUUACACCCAGGUAAAUAUUUAUAGGAUUUCUACCUAAUUGUAUCCCUACCCCCAACAGAGUUAUGACCAUAUAGAUUUCAAGCAGAAGACAUUAUUCAUGCAAUUUAUAUAGGAACUAUACCACCUGAUGAUAACAAGAACUUUUAAAGGAAAAUAAUAUAUUUUAAUUCAGGAUUUUUCAGCUGUAUUGAACACAAAUGGCACUAUUGUUACAAUCCACAUAGUUGUGCUUAGUGCAUAGAUUAUGGCUUAGUGAAAAUGCAGAGCAUGUGGGCUCUUGUCAAGAGAUCACAGCUGUUGUGCUGCUGUGCAGCACUGAGCUAAGCCAUGCAUUGACUUAGCAUGUCAUCCAAACUCAGUCUCAUGCUUUCCAUCCAGCUGUAACCAAGGUUCUUUUCUAGACUUGUGGCUCAUGGUUCAUCUGGGAGAGCUAAACCACAAGCCCAGGUUCAGACAACAUAGGAAGCAAGCUGCAGAGCAGCUGCAAAAUGAAAUGGCAGUUGUGAAGCAGCCACCUCCUCCCUGGUAGCCUGCACAUUUGCACUAACCCAGGCAGUAUACUGUACUCUUAAAUGUGAUCUUUUUGCAGCUAGACAUUUCCAUUAUUGUUCAUUUCUAUUGAUCAUUCAGUUAGGCCUAUACCAUAGUUGUCAACUUUUCCCUUUUCUUGCAAGGAAUCCUAUUCGGAAUAAGAGAAUUUCCCUUUAAAAAAGGGAAAUGUUGACAGCUAUGGCCUAUACAAUUAUUCAGCACCAGUCAACAGAGUUAGCUCUGUAAUAUAUAAAUACUCAUACUCCCUUUCUUACCAGACUAAGUCAUACACCUGCUAAUUUGAAAAAAGUCUCCAGUUUUUCUCAUUCUUAAUAUGAAGAAAUGGCUUCUGGAAAACAAUUGUUUCUUUUUUCCUUCUGACAUGGGAGCUGCUAGUGGAAAUAGUUUUAUACAGCUAAUAGAAAAUAUGCAAAAAGCUACUAAAUUUCUGUGCUACUAAUAAAAACAAUUAAACGUAACUUAAAAAUAGCCCAAUGAACACCUGAUAGCAAGAAAUCAUCAAGAUGUACAUCAUCUUGUAAAACUGGAAAAUUAUUAUGCAACAGUUAAUACCAAAAUAUUGAUCCCUUGUUACACAGUUGAUACCACAUCCCCAAAUAGAGACUCUGUAUCCCUUGCUAGUCUGAAUGUAACCUAGGACCACACCAAUAUACUUUGGCACCUGAGUCAGAUAAUGCAAAUAGUAGCUUCCCCAUGGUAAACAAUAUUCCAAAAUUCAGUUUCCCCCUACCUUUUAUAACAAAAACAGAUUUAUAACAAAUCUGCUGUCUGCACAGCAGCCUCAGUCUGUCAGCAGGGGCAGCCCUGAUGUAGCUACAUGUCAAAGAUACUAUUGUCUUGUCUUAACGUCUCUCUUUCUUUCAAUACUCUCCUCACCUGCAGCACUUAUCUUUGACUUAAUAUCUCUGUAAUUAAUUGAAACUGGCUCCUCCUAAGGUUUGUCACCUUUCACCUAUCAGAUUGGGUUUGAAUUCCCCUGCACCAACCUUGAAUACUCUUCAUGUACAUAACUGGAGACCAACUAUUGAAUGUAUGUCUUUAGUCUUCUGCCAUAGUGGCUAUAGAGAUAGUGUUGAUCUUUAGUACACAUACAAAAUACAGAAUUAGAUAAUCAUAUAAGUUAGGAAAAUAUGUGUUUUUCCACUUGAAAUGUAUACAAAUAAUCUCCAGUACAACUUAAUUGGGCACUGGGACGCAGGUGGCGCUGUGGGUUAAAACUACAGAGCCUUGGGCUUGCUGAUCAGAAGGUCAAGGGUUCGAAUCCCCACGAUGGGGUGAGCUCCCAUUGCUCGGUCCCAGCUCCUGCCAACCUAGCAGUUCGAAAGCACGUCAAAGUGCAAGUAGAAAAAUAGGUACCGCUCCAGCGGGAAGGUAAAUGGCGUUUCUGUGUGCUGCUCUGGUUUACCAGAAGCGGCUUAGUCAUGCUGGCCACAUGACCCGGAAGCUGUACGCUGGCUUCCUCAGCCAAUAAAGCAAGAGGGGUGCCACAACCCCAGAGUCAUCCGCAACUGGACCUAAUGGUCAGGGGUCCCUUUACCUUUACCAAUUCAUUUCAAAUAUGGCAUCUCCAGAGAAAAAAUUCUGAAGCAAUGGGGGGGGGGUUGAGUGUGUGUGACCUGAGAUGGAAUGAGUUGUACUCACGUCCCGCUUGCAGACUUCCCACAGGCUUCUAGUUGGCCACUCUUGACAACAGGAUGCUGAAGUAGACAGGCCAUUGGCCUGAUCCAGCAGGCUCUUAUGUUCUUAAUGCACAUUAAGUUUUAUGUAAGCAACAAAGAAAAAAUUCAUGAUACCCUUCAAUUUUCAAGAAACAUCAAUCAAAGGCAGAAGCACUGCAGUCUCUGUGACAAAACUUUCUUGUGAAAUCUUGGACUCUUCCUGAAGCUACUCUCCUUACAGUGACACUAGCGAGUGACUCAGUACCUCAAAACAUGUGAUUCACUGGCAACAAAAGGAAAAAGUUGCUUUAAUAGAAAAGGUGCUUUUUUAACAAACCCUUUAUCCACAAGUCCCAUGUCAGAAAUAUGUGCAUUCUAAACCAAAAUUAAGGGCAAUCAAAUUAAGUAAGCAAUACAGAUUACAAGUAGCUGCAGCAACAGAAAUGCCCGCUAUACCUCCUUCCCAAAAUCCUGAGAAAAGAGAUGUGCCUGCUGCUGAAACAACAUCAGUGUCAUGGCGAGAGAUACCUCAGAGAGUAGGUCAUUCCAAAGGUGAGGGACCACUACAAAGAAAGCCUGCCCAUGGACCCCCGCCCCACAAAUCUCAUUAGAUGUGAGAACCACCACCAGUGCUUCCCCUGCACAUCUAAUUUUAAUGCUCUCCCUGUUAAACUUAAGGCUAAAUAAAAGUUUCUUCAGUACCAGACCCAUGGUGUGAAAUAUUUCACCAGAACAUCAGCUGUGAUCUUCAAAGUGACUGUAUAACACUUCAGACUUCAGGGUCAGACUGCUUUUUAAAAAUGCAAAUAUAAUAUGACGCCAUCAGACAAGGCAUUAACAAAAGGACAACAAAAUAUUUUGGUAACACUUGAUUGUCCAUUUCCUUUUGUACCAUUCAUAUUUGUUUUUUGAAAUCAUUAAGUCUGUCCUCAGUAAUACAUUCGGCAGUAAAACAAGAAUGAUUUCUCUUUCAGUAACUAUCUAAAUAAAUUCUCAAAGUCAUAUUGAAAUAGUUCCUUGUAUAUCAUGUUCCUUCGAAACAAGUGAUUGAAUUAAGAGUUUCUAGAUGAAGUCAAGUACUUAAAGCAAAUCAGAAUUUUUUGUCUUCAGCCACUAUGAAAACAGAGAUUCAAGAUGAAAAGACCGUCUUGCCUUUUUUCCUAGCUUACACGGCUCGGCUCGUUUAUUUUUCCCAGUAGACACACUUGCAAAUCAGGCUACAGCUACACUUGGAAGUGCAGGGGUCUAGCUCCUGACCUCAGUUAGGUUAGUCCAUCCCAGCUGAAGAGCUCCCCCUUAGAUCACUGACUUGCUAUUAUUCUGUGGUUAAUAGGCCUGACCUGUGCAAUAUAUAUAAUAAAAACCUGGCUACAGUCCUAUCUCUAGUUUGAAUGCAUACCAAUUCUGUAUCUGACGCUUGCUAUAUAAUGAAAGGCAAACAAUGAAAGGGCCAAAUCAGUUUUACCAAAAAUAUAUUUGUCCAACAGUGUGGUGCAAAGAUGCUCCCAAUUUAGUCUGAGCUGUUUAUGUUGCACUGGAUGAGGGAGUUAAAAACAGCACCACAUAAAAAUCAAGGCAUCUUGUGGGAGAGAUACGUUUCCUUUCAGACAGCUUUUUCUUUAACCUGUGGCUAAUUAAAAAAUAAAUAAAUCCUGGUAUCUAUGGGAAUUUUCUUACAACCAGGAAGCCUGUUAAAGAGAAAGUAGCAGCACAACUCUCCCCCCCCCCACUCCAGCAUAGCCCCCUUAUGUCACAUUUGCAUUUCUAUUCCGCUGAACUGCCUGACAAUGAAGCAAAUGGGUUUGCCUUAUCUGUACAAUUCUGGACAACAGAGAUUUCUAAGCCAUACAAAAGAACAGCCUUACCAUUCAGCGGUUCAACACUUUCCACUGCAGUCCCCCAAGAUCCUGCGGGGAAUGCUGUCACAUAAACACCUGUCCCUACCAAAAACAAAAACAAAAAAACCCACCCUUAAACUGUCACAUGUCAUGGGCCGGGGGGGGGGGGGGGACUAAUUUAAAACAAAACAAAAUAUCUAGCAUGAUUUUCUCGAAAGGAAGCUAACCUCAAGAAGGGAGGAAGAGGAAAGAAUUAUUAAGACCCCACUAUUAAAAGCUUAACCCCAGAUUAAAUUAUGUACUCUAGGAAUGUCGGGGGGGCAUACAGUUUAUACAAAAUUGCUGGUUCCCCCCCCCCUACCCCUUUGUUUUGGCGCCAUCAGAGUAGGGCUCCAUCAGAUUCAAUCUACAUGCAGAAAAAAAGAAUUUAAACCUGCCAAUUUGCUGUAGUUUUAAAAAAAUCAAAUAACACUUACAAGGCAGUCCUGAUGACUUGUGCCUGUGAGAAUAUUUCAAACUAAUUCCUUUAAAAUUAACAUCUUUCCACUGAUAAGUUAAAAGCAAUACCAGAUUACCAGUCAGGCACUAGCUGAAAUCUCCAGAUCAGCUCUGUGUUAUGAUGAGACUUACACUAGCUAUAACACUGACUAGGACUUAUAAAGGCAAGAAAAGUUCUGAUCCAGAAACAUCCAAGCUUCAUGCUAGCUGUUAUAUUCUGUCUCCUUAUGCCAGUUCUCUGACUUGUACACAGUAAAGCAGGUAUCAUGGGAAACAUGGGCUUCAAAGAAUAUCCAUGGGAAGAACUGGAACCAUAAGGGAAUCUGGUAGACAUGAUCCAUGGGUAUAAACAACCUAUUUAUAAGGAUGUCAAUACCAUACAUUCCCAUAAUCGCAUAGUUGCUGUUUCCCAUGACUCGAUCCCAUAGCUCUUUGCCAAACUAUAAUAAAAAGGCUACAGUAAGAUAUUAAAAUCAUGUAGGAGGGAAAACUUACAUGUGAUGUAACCACACCAGCUUCCCCACAGGCCAGUUAUGCUGUUGUGGGUUGUACCCAAAAGACUAUGGUAAUGAAUCAGAUCACUGGUGACCAAUGUGCAUUCUAGUCCAGAGACGAUCACAGUCCAAAGGAAGAUUCCUAAGGGGAAGCAGGAACUCUUUCCUAACACAAUUUAAGAAGGUACCUGAGCCCUAUUGAGAAAUUGUUCACUACAUAUAAUUGCACCCUAAACACCAUGCUUUGAGACCAACGUAUCUGUAAAGGGCUAGCUAUGCACAUUCAAGUGAACAUGUGCAAGCACACCACAUAACUGAGAAGCCUGCAAAAAAACCAAGUCCCCCUAUAUGUGUUUAGCUGAUGUGUAGCUGAAUUUCUGAAUAGGACUAAUGAUUGAUUGACAGUGAAAUUUAUGGAAGCAAUCACCAACAUUUCCCAAAGUUCUUUCCAUUGGUGUCUUAGAAUUGUGGUUUUCACAGUGCAUUCUGGGGAUUCCUGGUGUCCUUCAGAAACUCGCCAGAGGUUCCUCAAGGAUAAAAUUCAUAAAUCUCCACAAGCUUCCCUGAAUGGCUUGUUUGCCAUUGCAGAUUUUCUCCAGCAACAUGGAACCACAGGGGAGUGCUGUGACCAAAGCAUCUAUUUACAUGGAGCAAUGGUGAGGCUCAGGAGACCUAGCCAGUGCUAUGCAUAAACUUUGUCCUCGAGAACACGCUUCUGAAUCAAAUGUACAGCACAGGUUCCCUGGGAAAUGUACAGGGGUUUCCUGGAAAACUAAUUGAGGUGGAAAGAAUUCCUUGAAAAUGUAAAGUAAGAGCAUUGUUUUCAAACAACAUCUCAAGGGACCAUGUAACUCUUCUUCUUCCCCACAGUCUGACGAUGAGUGAAUAUAGAAAGCAGAACUUACUAUCUUCUUUGGUGAGAUUUCAACAGUUACAAGUUCUAUUGCUAUAUGGUCACAUUCCUGGUAAAAAGUUACUUUCUACGCCAAGUUUUUCAGCACUGCUAUCUGGAGCUGAAAGCCCCUAUUCCCC